rnacentral:rRNA from 1 species
UACGGGGGGGCAAGCGUUGUUCGGAAUUACUGGGCGUAAAGGGCUCGUAGGUGGCCAACUAAGUCAGACGUGAAAUCCCUCGGCUUAACCGGGGAACUGCGUCUGAUACUGGAUGGCUUGAGUUCGGGAGAGGGAUGCGGAAUUCCAGGUGUAGCGGUGAAAUGCGUAGAUAUCGGAAGGAACACCAGUGGCGAAAGCGGCUUCCUGGUCCAGCACCGACGUUCAGGCACGAAAGCGUGGGGAGCGAACAGG